UACGGGGGGGGCAAGCGUUGUUCGGAAUUACUGGGCGUAAAGGGCUCGUAGGCGGCCAACUAAGUCAGACGUGAAAUCCCUCGGCUUAACCGGGGAACUGCGUCUGAUACUGGAUGGCUUGAAUCCGGGAGAGGGAUGCGGAAUUCCAGGUGUAGCGGUGAAAUGCGUAGAUAUCUGGAGGAACACCGGUGGCGAAGACGGCAUCCUGGACCGGCAUUGACGCUGAGGAGCGAAAGCCAGGGGAGCGAACAGG
rnacentral:rRNA from 1 species